UCAGGAUGAACGCUAGCGACAGGCCUAACACAUGCAAGUCGAGGGGCAGCACAAGGAGUAAUCUGAGGUGGCGACCGGCGCACGGGUGAGUAACACGUAUGGCAACCUAGGCUGUAAAGAGGGGGAAUAACCCGGAGAAAUCCGGACUAAUACCGCAUAAUACUUAGAAUCCGCAUGGAUUUAGUUAAACAUUUAUGGCUUACAGAUGGGCAUGCGUAUGAUUAGCUGGUUGGAGAGGUAACGGCUCCCCAAGGCAACGAUCAUUAGGGGUUCUGAGAGGAAGGUCCCCCACACUGGUACUGAGACACGGACCAGACUCCUACGGGAGGCAGCAGUGAGGAAUAUUGGUCAAUGGACGCAAGUCUGAACCAGACCCAAGUCGCGUGAAGGAAGAAUGUCCUAUGGAUUGUAAACUUCUUUUGAAGGGGAAUAAAGUACGGUACGUGUACCGUUUUGUAUGUACCCUUCGAAUAAGGAUACGGCUAACUCCGUGCCAGCCGCGGC
rnacentral:rRNA from 1 species